UCUAGGUUUAACUUAACUCAUAUCUGGCCUUCUAGCUUCGCCUCAAAGUUGAGGCUAGCACACUCUGAUAGUAAAGAAAGAAACAUAUACUGUAUAUCGAUAAUUCCAAAUCUUAACCCUGACUACCACCGGAUGUUUAAUUCGUUCCUUUUUUCAGUAUCAUACUGCUUCAUUGCUAGCUCUCGGCGCGCCGGUUCUUCGAUCUCGGGCACAAACCCACCUUCAUCCUUCAAGACUUAAAGCUUUUGCUCGCUACCAAAUCAUGCUAUCAAGGAAUUGCCGUAAUCGUUGCUUGGGAUUUAAUUGAGUUUGAUUUUCAGGUAAUGAAUUUCUCCUGCUGCCUGCUGGUACCAUCGAAGUAAGCUCCAUUUUGGGGGAAAAAUAACUCCUCUGUUGAAGCUUCAAUUCUGAGAAAGUUGUUGCGUUCCAUUGUGUGGUUGCGGUGUACUUCUGUUAUCCAGUACCGUUCCAACCGAAAGCUAAAUUUCUUAGCUCUCAUCAUUUACAUAUAGGGAAUAGGCGUCGACUGAAAUGUCGAAUAAAAAUGAAAACUUCAAAAAAAUACAUGCCGACAAGAAGGCUAGGCGACACGAACUGUAUAAAAUGAUGCAAUCUGAUAAAAAGAGGCCCUCCUAACACGAGCACGAGCAAACAAGGCUCAAACAAGCAGGCGACAACUUGCUGCCUCCUCACUUAUUAAUAGUUCUGCUGACGUAUCAUCCUCUAUGAUUGCUAAUAGUUCAAGCGAGCAAUGUGCUCCUUUCAUGGGAUAUCCAAUUCUAUACGAAACAGGAUCAACAUCUAAUACAAAUCAUGAACAAUAUAACAAAGUAUCAGUAACAACCCAAGUGUCACCUGAAUAUAUUAUGUUAAAGACAGCUCCCAAAUGUAAAUUUUGCGAAGCCAAAAAAUUUGAAUACGAGUCGCCCGCAUUCUGUUAUCGCAAUGGCACUGUUAAGCUAAGUUCACACCAAAUACCAACAAAGUUAAGAAAUCUAUAUCUAGGAAAUACUGAGGAAUCAAAGCAUUUUCGAACCUACAUAAGAACAUACAAUAAUAUGUUUGCAUUCACAUCCUUGGGUGUAACAUAUGAUAGAAAAUUGGCGAAGAGAAACAAAGAUAUUUACACCUUUCGUGUUCAAGGACAGAUGUAUCAUUUCAUAAAUGACUUGAUACCAAGUAAUGAAAAAAGAAGAAACCUACAAUUAUAUUUCUUUGAUAGUGAAAAUGAAAUGAGAAAUCGAAUGACAUGUUCCGAUAAAUUGAACGAGUGUACUGUGAAAAGUUUGAUGGAAAUAUUAAAAAUCAAUCCUUACUCUAUAUUUUUAAAAUCCUUAAUAAAUAUCCCACAAUUAUCAGAUUUUUAUAUUGCGCUUAAGUUUGACGCUGGUUUAGAUCAACGGAUAUAUAACCUCCCACCUACAUCAGAAGUGGCAGGGAUAUGGGUAGAACAAGAUACCAAUAAUUGUAUCCCUACUCCACAUAUUCGAAUUUACACAAAAGCGAUAGAAGCCAGCUGGUAAAUUAUUAUUACGGCUGUUAUGAACCAUUACAAUAUCCAUUAUUGUUCCCGUACGAACAAAAUGGUUGGCAUUGUGGUAUUAAAAAACUUAAGCCUCCAACAACUCCUAGAACACAAAUGUACUGUGAAUACGAACAAUUGCCAGCUUCUGCACCGCACCGGCCGCAUCUGCGAUCUCGUAGGUGCGAGAUUUCCUUCGCACCUGCGGCCUCUGAGCCCUUCACUUCUAACCGCUU